rnacentral:rRNA from 1 species
CGGUGCCGCAGCUAUCGCAUUAAGUACUCCGCCUGGGAAGUACGCGCGCAAGAGUGAAACUCAAAGGAAGUGACGGGGACCCGCACAAGUAGCGGAGCAUGUGGUUUAAUUCGAAGCAACGCGAAGAACCUUACCUAAGCUUGACAUCCCAAUGACAUCUCCUUAAUCGGAGAGUUCCCUUCGGGGACAUUGGUGACAGGUGGUGCAUGGUUGUCGUCAGCUCGUGUCGUGAGAUGUUGGGUUAAGUCCCGCAACGAGCGCAACCCUUGUCUUUAGUUGCCAUCAUUAAGUUGGGCACUCUAGAGAGACUGCCAGGGAUAACCUGGAGGAAGGUGGGGAUGACGUAAAAUCAUCAUGCCCCUUAUGCUUAGGGCUACACACGUGCUACAAUGGGUAGUACAGAGGGUUGC